AACGAACGCUGGCGGCAGGCCUAACACAUGCAAGUCGAGCGAGAUCUUCGGGUCUAGCGGCGGACGGGUGAGUAACGCGUGGGAAUAUGCCUCUUGGUACGGAAUAGCCUCGGGAAACUGGGAGUAAUACCGUAUGUGCCCUUUGGGGGAAAGAUUUAUCGCCAAGAGAUUAGCCCGCGUUGGAUUAGGUAGUUGGUGGGGUAAUGGCCUACCAAGCCGACGAUCCAUAGCUGGUUUGAGAGGAUGAUCAGCCAUACUGGGACUGAGACACGGCCCAGACUCCUACGGGAGGCAGCAGUGGGGAAUCUUAGACAAUGGGGGCAACCCUGAUCUAGCCAUGCCGCGUGAGUGAUGAAGGCCUUAGGGUUGUAAAGCUCUUUUACCAGGGAUGAUAAUGACAGUACCUGGAGAAUAAGCUCCGGCUAACUCUGUGCCAGCAGCCGCGGUAAUACAGAGGGUGCGAGCGUUAAUCGGAUUUACUGGGCGUAAAGCGUGCGUAGGCGGCUUUUUAAGUCGGAUGUGAAAUCCCUGAGCUUAACUUAGGAAUUGCAUUCGAUACUGGGAAGCUAGAGUAUGGGAGAGGAUGGUAGAAUUCCAGGUGUAGCGGUGAAAUGCGUAGAGAUCUGGAGGAAUACCGAUGGCGAAGGCAGCCAUCUGGCCUAAUACUGACGCUGAGGUACGAAAGCAUGGGGAGCAAACAGG
rnacentral:rRNA from 1 species